UAACUCCGUCUGCUUGGACAUGUAGGGAACAAGGUCGGAUGAGACCAGAGAGGGUAGCAAGACAAAAAUUUGCAAUGACAAUUCACCAAACACCAAGUAACCCAACUGGAAACAGGGUUCAUUCUUCAGCACCAACAAUGAGGAACCCGGAACCAAAGCAAAACCAGCAAUUCUGUUACUGAUGCUUGAGGAACAAUAGAAGACCGUUCAGUCAUGUGCAUCCUCCCUUCACAUUUCUAACAGGAACAAAACACUGAUUUUGUCCGUAAACUCAGCAGAGUUGGAAUCAGAGGGAACAAAUAUUUGUAAUGCACCAAUGUCAACUUUUAGUAAUUUUUCUGAUUACAACCACAUACUUAUAUAGUUGCAUGGUAUAUACAUCUUCAUGUUCAUCAUGGGCAGUUUCAACUGAAAGUUAUAAACAUGAGAGCAUUGAUUCACAGGAACACUGUGCCAUUUUGUACCAUUCUCUGAGUGCAAAGUGGCCAUAAGCAUAGUAGAGCUAGGCAGUUCAUUCUCUCCCAUGUGUGAGGGAAUCUUCUGGUGUUGGCUUAAGUAAAGUAGCCAGUAAGAAGCAUAAACAAGAGACAAACAGAUUGAGGCAUCAGAUGGAUAAGGAAAAAAUAGAAAUGAGAACUUUGAAAGGGAAGGAAGAGGAAGUGCAUGAAUAAAAAUGGUUUGCAGCCUCCUUAUAGAUGGCCAUUGGGAAAGUGCCCCAAUCACAGCAAACAAAUCAACAGCCACCAUUAUGGCUGCACCAGUGCAAAAAUCUCGUUGACUCCAGGGUUGUCUUUGUCUACACUUUGGGCAUGCACUGGCAUUGCAAAUGCCCACGGACAAAUUCUAAAUUCCUAAGGACAUAAAGAAAGAGAAACAACAGGGAAUUGAAGAGGAUUGUGGGGUUCAAGUAAAUUACUACUGUCUCAUGCAUGCUUCAUGUUGUUCGUGAUAAUGGCAACAGCAACACUUAAAGCAAUCUUUUCCAGGUUAUCAUUUGGAGAUCCAGGUGUUAAAUGAAUGCUUUUGUUAAUGCUGACUAAUACUUCAGUAAACACCAUGCUAAAUGACAAUGACAUCCUGCACAGCUUUAAAGUACCAUACCUGAGGCACCUCUCAGAUGGCAUCCUUCACGUUUGUUCUUCAGAAUCUCAAUACUUAAAAUCUUGUGGAGGAAGAAGAAAACAUUACAGCUAAAAAAGACAGAGAGAAGAAUCACAGACAUGUAGAGUUGGAAGGAACAACAAGAGGCAGGAUUGAGUCUACCUAAAUCAUCCUUGACAGGUCUAAUCUGUUCUUAAAACCCUCCAAUGAUG